AUGAAGUUUGUGAUCACAUCAGAUUUGAGGUGUAUUUAUAACAAUCACAUAAAUGGAAGGUUGCAGGACGAUUUUGGAAAUGUCAAUGGCGUCAACAAAGACAUCGGACAAGAGCUAUCAUAUAUUCUAAUUCAGACACAAGUGAUGAUACAACAAUGCUCUUCGCCAAAUUCUAAUUCAGGCGAGCAUAGCUUAGCUUGGGACCAUGCCCGUGCAACAGUUAUUGUCAUCUUCAUGCCCCAUAUAAGUUGCUUCUGUCAUGCAUAUAAGACAAAGACGCCAUCAACAGCAGCGACACACAUAGUGAGGUCAUUGCCUGACAGGAUUUUGCUUUGA
rnacentral:rRNA from 1 species